AAAAAAAAAAAGAAUUAUAGACAAUACAGCAAAAACUCCUCAUCUGCUAGCUUCCUUCUACAAUUGCUGACUGUCACUGAGACCAGAAGCCCUGCCACUUGGUGAUGUUUGUGAUGUGGAGCAAAGCAGAAGGCAUGCUCAGCAUCCACUGGCUUUCCACAGCCAUGUUCAUGAAACCUUUAUCUUUUUGCUAGCCUGGCUGUGAAAUGGCUUGGAGACAUGAGGCUCCACUGGACUGAAGUUCUUUCCAAUCCUGGGAGCCUGCGGUGCACGACAGAAACGUGACUG
rnacentral:lncRNA from 10 species